UACAGAGGAGCCAAGCGUUGUCCGGAUUGACUGGGCGUAAAGCGCACGCAGGCGGAUGCGCGCGUGGGGUGUGAAAUCUGGCCGCUUAACGGCCAGGCGCCAUCCCAUACGGCGCGUCUGGAGUGAUGCAGAGGUCGGUGGAAUUGCCGGUGUAGUGGUGAAAUGCGUAGAGAUCGGCAGGAACACCCAGGGGGGAACCAGCCGACUGGGCAUCUACUGACGCUGAGGUGCGAGAGCGUGGGGAGCGAACCGG
rnacentral:rRNA from 1 species